CCCACUACAUGAGCUACUAAGCCAAGAUUCCAAGACAUUGUCUGCUUAUCCCAGUAGGCUAGAGUGGGUAAGAUACAGUGUCACUAGUGUACGGGAAAAUCUCAGCACUGAGAGCCAGGAAACCACUUGUUCAAAUAAAGGAUUGAAAAGACUUAAUAAUAGUUCCUGAGAAAAUCCCCUAGGAGUUUCACUUCACUGGAAAGAGCAGAAAUUGGUCACAUCUAUUUUGUGUGCCCCUAGAAUGUUAUUCUUGUGUCUAUAAUAGCACUUAGAACAUUUUGUUAUAUUGUUUAUUUGGGUUUUGUCUCCCAUUUUAGUCUAUUUGCAGUAUAAAAACAGUGAUCACAUUUUGUUCAUCUUUAAGUAUCUACCAUCAAUAUCAGACCUGGCAUAAAGUCUAUGCUCACUACCUAUUUGUCAUAUGAGUGGAGAUAAUGUAUGAAUGUAAGAUUAGUGGUAUGUAUCAGUGGGAUAUAGCUCUUAAAACCAGAAUGAUUUUGAUUUAUGAGUGAAAUGGGUACUUAAGAGGGGUGAAGAGAAAAAAUAUCUCUAUUAAACAAUAUUGAUGAGGUUAACUUCCAAAGAUUAACUUUGUCUGCAUAACAAUUUUGCAAGGGUAAUAUGAUAGUGUGAUCCUCACUUAUAAGGUACUCUGAAGAAAAUAAAUAUUACAGGGAAGGGGAUGUUUCCUGUGUUCAAAAAUGGUCAAUAAUUACUGGAUACUCUGUUACAUGAAGAUUCACAAUGUAUUUUAUUAUGUUAAGGGCUUUGAGGAGUUCUCCUGCAAAUAAACCUAUUUAGCCUUAUUUAUCCUAGUGUUUAACCUGUCUUUGUGGAUUAAUUUGACCACAGGAUCACUUUCGUGUAUGUGAGUUACCUAUUAACCUCCCAAGGAAAGCACUUGGGAACUGUCACGAGACUAGGAAUUCUGAACUGAGCAUCAAGAGCUCUGGGUUCUACUCCUGACUCAUAAUUAGUGACCUCAUGACCUUGGGCACAAAUUCUUGGUUUCCCUAUCUCUAAGAAUGAGUUGUUAGUACUAGAUUGCCUUUCAACUUUAUAACUGUUAUGCUUUAUCAUCCAUGGAAUUGGGAGCUAGCUCCAGGAGUAUUACAGGAAGAAUGGAUGGUCACUGUUGAAGAAGCAGAGAAGUAUACUGGGUGGCUGCCAGAGGAACCAUUUCACCAGCCAGCCACUUUUGUUCUUCCCUGCCCUAUGAAUCCUACUCCCAUACAUAUAUUCUGUUUCCCAAUAGUCCAAAUAACCAGAGAGAAAUGCCAUAGACUCAAUGUCCCCCAUUUAAGGUUAACAUGAAAAUGGUUGAGUUUUAAUGA